rnacentral:rRNA from 1 species
GACGAACCGUGCGAACGUUGUUCGGAAUCACUGGGCUUAAAGGGCGCGUAGGCGGGCGGUCAAGUCAGAGGUGAAAUCCCACGGCUCAACCGUGGAAGUGCCCCUGAUACUGGCCGUCUCGAGGGAGGUAGGGGCGUGCGGAACUUCCGGUAGAGCGGUGAAAUGCGUAGAUAUCGGAAGGAACACCAGUGGCGAAGGCGACACACUGGCCCGUUACUGACGCUGAGGCGCGAAAGCGUGGGGAGCAAACAGG